GUGCUGGGUUUGGCAGCACAUAUACUAAAAUUGGAAUGAUACAGAGAAGAUUAGCAUGGCCCCUGGCAAGGAUGACAUGCACAUUUAUGAAGCAUUUCAUAUUUUU
rnacentral:snRNA from 1 species